rnacentral:rRNA from 1 species
UACGUAGGGAGCAAGCGUUGUUCGGAUUUACUGGGCGUAAAGGGCGCGUAGGCGGCAAUUCAAGUCAUCUGUGAAAUCUCCGGGCUUAACUCGGAACUGUCAGAUGAUACUGCUUUGCUAGAGUGCAGAAGGGGCAAUCGGAAUUCUUGGUGUAGCGGUGAAAUGCGUAGAUAUCAAGAGGAACACCUGAGGUGAAGACGGGUUGCUGGGCUGACACUGACGCUGAGGCGCGAAAGCAUGGGGAGCGAACAGG